rnacentral:rRNA from 1 species
GACGAACGCUGGCGGCGUGCCUAAUACAUGCAAGUAGAACGCAGUUGCGAACGGGUGAGUAACGCGUAGGUAACUGCCUGGUAGCGGGGGAUAACUAUUGGAAACGAUAGCUAAUACCGCAUACUACCAGAUGGACCUGCGUUGUAUUAGCUAGUUGGUGAGGUAACGGCUCACAAAGGCAACGAUACAUAGCCGACCUGAGAGGGGGAAGGGCCAGACUGGGACUGGGACACGGCCCAGAGUCCUGCGGGAGGCAGCAGUGGGGAAUCUUAGGCAAGGGGGGGAACCCUGGCCGCGCAACGCCUCUGGAGUGAAGAAGGUUUUCGGAUCGUAAAGGUCUGUUGAUAAUGAAGCGGUACUUAGCGAGAAAGGGACGGCUAACUACGUGCCAGCAGCCGCGGUAAUAC